rnacentral:lncRNA from 1 species
AUGAAAGCUAUUUUAGAUUUACAAAAAAAUAGAGAUAUCGUCAUAAAACCUGCGGAUAAAGGUAACUCUACUGUGAUUCUAGACAGAGAUCAAUAUAUUUAUGAAGCUAAGAGACAACUAGCUGUGAGUGACCACUAUCGGGCUCUUGAAGAACCAAUAUAUACAGAGACCAUCGACGAAGUCAGAGAAAUUUUAGAAGAGAUGUGUUCUAAGAAAAUCAUUAAUGGGGCUCAGAAAGAGUAUUUGAUAGGUGACGGCCCACCUAGACCCAGAAGAUUUUACUUGUUACCUAAAAUACAUAAGGAACCCAAGAACUGGAGUAUCCCCUUUCAGAUACCCCCAGGAAGACCUAUCGUCUCCGACUGUAACAGUGAAACUUACUAUAUUGCUGAGUACCUGGAGCACUUUCUUAACCCUCUUUCUAUCAGACACCCUAGUUAUCUAAAGGACACAUAUGAUUUCAUUUCUAAAAUUGGCAGAUUAAAAAUUCCUCCAAGUGCCAUUCUCUUUACAAUUGAUAUUGACAGUUUAUAUACUAACAUCGAGACACAAGUUGGCCUUGAGGCGGUCAAAAAGUUCAUGAAGAAAUUUCCCGAUUCUAAAAGACCUGAUGAGUACAUUCUAAAACUGCUUGAGAUUAAUUUAACUAAAAACGACUUUGAAUUUGACUCCAAAUUUUAUUUACAAAUAAAAGGCACAGCAAUGGGCAAAAAGUUUGCCCCGUCGUACGCAAAUAUAUUUAUGGCGGACUGGGAAGAGUCUGCUUUAGCCUCGGCAGAGAAAAAACCAUUUGCCUAUUUUAGGUUUCUUGACGACAUCUGGGGUGUCUGGACUCACUCGAUGGCUGAUUUUGUCACUUUUACUGAACAUUUGAAUGCACACCAAGCCUCAAUAAAGAUUAAAUUCACAGUUAAUGAUUCUGAGGUCAAUUUCCUGGAUGUCGUGUCCUAUAAGGGCCCCAACUUCCUCUCCACAGGAAAGCUGGAUUUUAGAGUAUACUUUAAAAACACAGACACACACUCACUCUUACACAAACACAGUUUCCACCCUAAACACACUUUUAGGGGGAUUGUGAAGUCACAAUUACUCAGAUUUAAACGCAUUUGCACAGAACAGAGAUUCUUCGUUACAGCAACAAACACUCUUUUCAAGGCCUUGAGACAACGUGGAUAUUCACGCUCUUUCUUGAGAAAUGUAUUUAAAUCUUUUGACACACCUAAACCUCUGCCCGCCCCGGACACGACAAACAGGAAUAAAAUUAUUCCAUUGGUGACGCAUUUUUCGUGUUUUAGUACACAGCUCAAUCGGGCCAUUAAAUCAAAUUUUUCACAGUUCUUGACUUCCACAAAUUUCCUACAACACCAUAAACCCAUUGCGGCCUAUAGGAGAAACAAAAAUAUUUUAGAUGUAUUAGUACAGAGCAAGCUCUCGACUCCUUCACCUAAAGGCCGAAUAGGCAAAUGCAAGUAUUUCACCCCAUCGAGAUGGGUCAAGAACAGAUUUAAUGGCCAGAUUUUCAAGUUGUCUAAUACUCUGUCACAUGAGAGUGUAAACUGUAUUUAUCUCAUAUACUGUCUCAAAUGUCGAAAGCAGUAUGUAGGCCAGACCAAGAAUGAACUGAGAGUAAGAGCCUACCAACACGCUCACAAUAUAGUACACAAAAUAGAGAAGCGUAGGCUCCUAGUAAAACAUUUUUUGGCUCAUGGCCUCGACUCCCUCCGAAUUACAGGGCUCCAAACCAACCCACUAUGGUCUCUGAAAGAACGCCUGAGGGCCGAGAGUAGGUGGAUUAAACGCCUGGAUACCCUGCACCCGAGGGGACUGAAUGAGACAUAA